UACCUCUCCUUUGUGAGCUAUGGUGUAUUCUGACUUCUGGCGGCCUGGGAGUAAGGAAGGCAGGACCUUUUCACUACAGUGAGCAUGGAUGUUAACUGUGUUUGUGUGGCUACAGCAACGGCGGCGUGGCCAGAUAAAAAAGCUAGGACUUUUUUCUUUUUUUUCCUACAAAAGAUGUGUUUGGAGAGAGAGAGUGGCGGUCUGGUGUUGCAGAUUACGGUAGGGCUGCGUUGCGCAGAAUGUUGUGAGUUGAGCCUCAGGGACCGCACGUUUUUCGGCAGGGCUGUCGCCGCGGGAGUGUGGGCUUUCGGAAAGCAGCAUCCUGUUGCCGCGCCUCCACGAGGAGUCCGCCAACCUGAAAAGCUGGAUGUUGGCCUCAGUGCAGAAUAUUGGCGAUGAGAACAGCAUCCCACCGUGAAGUCGGGUAAUGUCCGUGUCUCCAGUUGAAGGAUGACGGGACAGUGAGUGUUGACUGCUCUGAUGAUCCCACUAAUCACAGGAAGUGCUGUCAGAAGCGAUACCUGACGAAAGUGCUCCUGGCUGACUGCAGUCACCGAGUGCACCAGAUGAUGUUGUUGCUCAGGAUUAAGUUGGUCUGAACUGCGACAACCUUUCUACAUUCAUGCAGGUUGCAGAGUGGCAGAUGCCAACACCUUAGUGUUGCAGGCCUCUUGGGUCACCCAUGAGGCCUGUGUACAGAGGUGCUGCCCACCACUUCUGCUCAAAGCCUGUGGAGUGUUGGCCUCGAGUCAGACGUGGACGCUCUUGUGCAUUUCCUGCUGUGGAGCCCUGUCCUGUGUCCCCAGGUUUGGGGACAGCGCUGGAGUGCAGUUCUAUAGCUGGCAGCAGUGCAGCCCAGGAAGAGGCAAAGGGCUGCAAGCUGCCGUUGAUUCUGUUUGACAAUCUCUGUGACUGGAACGUUUGCUACAGAAGAAACAAGCUGCUUCCCUCCUGUAUCAGAGGCCUUCUCAAGAGAACUGAUGUAUCUGGCAAUUUUUUUCUAGGACAAGCAUGCAGCAUUGGGUGGUGGUAUUUAACCUACCCAACAAACAAGAGCAUCUGUGUCUUAGGAUAAAUGUAUACUUGUAGAUGUUACUAUUGAAUGGCAUUAUGGGGCCCGGGAUGUAGCUCAGUGGCAUAGUGCCUGCCUGGCAAGCAUGAGGCCCUGAAUUCAAUU